ensembl:lncRNA
GCUGUGGUGUAGCCCGGCAGCUAAAGCUCUGAUUCGAGCCCUAGCCCAGGAACUUCCAUGUGCGGCGGGUGCGGGCGGCCCUACAGAAAGAGAAAAGCAAACCAGAGCCUGUUUUCUGUCUCCAGGGUGCUCUUCGCUGCCUUGGUCCCCCUCCUGCCCAGCUGACUGGUCGGUCUCUGGGUUGCUUUCUCCAGUUAUUUCUGCUCCUCUGCCCCACUGAACGUGGCCCCUGCAGUGUGAGGCGACCCCCUCUGCCACCCCUGUGUCUGUCCUUCCCCCGUGGCCUGUGGCCUUCUCAUUGCUCCUGCUUUGUUUCCUGGUGCCGAGCCCUGGGGCCUCCCCAAACUCUCUGCCCUUUUGAGGCCCAUUAGGGUGACACCCAGAUGCUGAGGGACCAGCGGGGGGUUGGGGGCGUGGCCUUCACGGCUCUUCUCCCACUGCUGAGACAGAGGCUUCGCCUUGGCCACCUGCCAGCCUCGGGACAGAACCUGGGGCCCCGUCCUCCUGGCCUGCAGGCGCUUGAGCAGACCUCAGGCCUGGGGGGGAACAGCCGUGUCCCCCUGCAGGAGCCUGCUGUUGGGAAAAGACCCUCAUGGGACUCUCUCUCACAGGGCCGCCUGCCAGCACCAGCGUUUUGUCCUCCAUCAAAGAGGAGGAAGAAUCUUCAGAUGGAGAGUCACGGUCCCCUCCCCGGGAUGUCCCGCCCGGCCCAGGGCCAGGUCACCUAUGGCCCUGUUCUUCCCCCACCACCCACUGGCCUGGCUGGAAAAGUGCUGCUUGAAACAAGCUUCCUGUCACGAGGAGUGUGGUCUGGUGACAGAGACACGACCUCACCCACCACCCUGUGAAGCGGCCCAGCCCCACAGCCUCUCACGUCUUACAGUUUGAAUGUGGUGCGAUUUAAAUGCAGCUCUGCUCAGAGCCUUGUAUUUUCUGUGACCCGAGUGUACACUCCGACAAGCAGUAAAAAGAAAAAAAAAAGCCAUUAUCGGCGUUCCUGCUGUGGCGCAGCAAGUUAAAAACGUGGUGCAGCCAUAGCUGUGGCGUAGGUUGCAGCUAUGGCUCAGAUUUGAUCCCCAGGCAUGUCAUGGGUGCGGCGAAAGGAAGGAAGGAAGAAAUACAAAAAUAUACUCUGGACCAAUAGAAAGAAAUCAGCUGCCCCGCCCAUUCCCUCCUGGUUCCCCCUCCAGUGGGAGGCAGACAUCCCCCUCGGGGCGGUGNNNNNNNNNNNNNNNNNNNNNNNNNNNNNNNNNNNNNNNNNNNCCCCCCCCCCCCCCCCCCCGCAAAGAAGGCCUGAGACGUCACUAAUUCCUAAGCCCGGGAUGAGGACAGCGGCAGCCUCUUAAAUGAACCAAGGUUUAACCUCAAAGUUUAGAUGAUUCUUUGGCUCAAGGACCAAAUGUAAAACAGGGGCGUUCCUAACAUCAGAGCAAAGUUCUGCACGUGUUAUUUGGGUGAUGACUGGGUGGACGGUGAGCAGGUGCUGCCCUGGAGGUUCGCCAGUUCAGGGCCCUCCUCCUCCGUGACCUUCCGGCUUGUGGAUUAAGCUCACACUUCAGCAAGAAUAGAAACUACUCUCGUGCUGGGCCGUGGAAGUUGUCCGCAGAGGGCUGAAGGUUUUUAUUCUAAUAGGCAGAGGGCAGGCAAGGUUCGCUGUCCGCCCUUGAGCAGACCACGCUGCUGCCAGGGGCUGGACGAGGCCGGAGAGGAGGAGGGUCAGGGGCCACUUCAGAGGAAACCAGCUGAGCCCCCGUUGGAGCAUGGGGGGAAAGGCAGUGUUCCAGGCGGGGCUCCAAGGUCAGGACCUGCCUUCCCAGCGUUAGGGACCCCUGGGAGCUGCUGCCGAGACCCGUUCCUGCCUCAGUCCCACCUCAGAGUCGCAUGUGACCCACCCAGCCCGGAAGCCCAGGCCCUGGUGCCUGCUCUGCGUUACCAGAGAGCAUGGUGCCGGGCACGGGCUGGACGCUCAGCGUGGAUUUGUAACAUGGCUGAGUAGCUGCAAGUCACGCCCCACCUCCAGGCCCGAAGCCCCUUUCCUGUCCCGGGGCCGUCAGGGCCCACAAGGUUCACUGCAUUCACGGAUCAGAACCAAAGUCGUCGGAACUGUGGGGGCCUCCGUGGCCAGCACGUCAUGUCUCAGGGGCCAGGAUGUAGGCUCCCGGUUUGCAGCGUUGUUCCCUCUCUCCCCACGGCCUCCGCUGCCCCUAGAAAUGUGGGGCACUGGACCAGGUGGCGAAGGAGGCAGAGGGUGGGGGUGAGGGCGGGGGCACUCAGAGAAGUCAGUGGGGUAGGACGGGGGAGGGGCUGGUGUGGCUGGAGCUGCCCCGGGGCCUGGACUGGGUCUGCGGCGCCUGUGGGGGCCAUGUGGCCUGCUGGAAAUCAUUGCAGAUUCCAUUUGCCAGGUGCCGGCGGUGUGGUCAAGACAGAAGCACAAUCCGAGGACGAGAUGAUGCCUGAGCAGCUCUUCCUGGGGGAGCCCCCGAGGCAGACCAAGUGCAGACUGCCCAAGGGGCCCAGGAGCCGGCCUGGGGGCUCCGGCCGGCUUUCCCCCCGGGGCGGGCCC